UCGUCCCGAGCGCUGGAUUUUCACGGCAUCUGCAAGGGGAGAAUAAAUUAGCGAAAGUCCCUCCCCGGCUUUUCUUUUUUUAAAUCCCCAAUUCUGAUUUUUUUUUUUUGAGCUGCCCCUCCAUCACUAAAAAAAAAAAAAGGAAAAAAGUAGAAAAAUAAAAUAUAAAUAAAAUAAAAAUUUUUUAAAAAUAAAAAUAAAGUAAGAAGAGGGGAAGCUGUUGAGGGGCAGCCCGAGCGCUUUUCCGCGCGGGGCUUCCCCGCUCCUCGCAGUAAUUUAGGAGUUCCUGAAAGUUUUCUUGCGCUGUUUCCUUUACAGCCGCUCAGUUCCUUAACCUUCAGAAAUUUAUACCCUAUAAAGUUUUAUAGCGGUCAUAUUCUUUUAUGGCAGCGCGCUGCGCUGAAUUUUCCUUUCUUUAUGACAAGUUCCUUCCCUUUCUCUGCCUUCCCUCCUCGAGCUCCAAAAUUCUUCCUUCUUCUUUUCUUCUUCUUUUGUUUUCUUUUCAGGGCUGCCCCAAAGAAAGGAGAUUUUUUUUUUCUCCCCUUUUCCCCCCCCCCUAAAGAAGUGAAAUAUUGCCCCUUUGGAGCGGCCCAUUUUGUUAAAAAUUACCGGGCAGGAGAUUCCGGGUCCUGCUCCUGUUCCCGAGCGGGACUCGGGGCUUGUUCGAUGAUUUUAAAUUGUUGUUAUUUUAAUUUUUUUAAAAUAUAAAACAGUUUUCCGGGCUCUUGAGAGCUUCAUAAGCGAUAAAAACUCGCAGGAAUUUCGGGAGGGAAUCGCAGGAAUCGCUCCUGGAAAAGGAACCGCGCGUCCAACCCGAGGAACCUCAUCGUCGUCAUCUUAAAAAUAUCCGCUCUUUAGCACAGCUCUAAGGAAAAGUGAGAAAAAUCCGCUCCUAAACCCCGGCGGCCGAAACAUGGAGGAACUCGUGGGAAAUGAGAAUUGAGCAGGAUUUGGGCCAAUCCGGGCUCCGCGGGGGACGCGAGGGGUUCGGGGAGAACCGAACCGAGCUGGCAAAUUCAGCUCAAGCAGCGUUUCCCACCCUUUUUAAUCCAUUUAAUC